AAGUCGUAACAAGGUUUCCGUAGGUGAACCUGCGGAAGGAUCAUUAACACGUAUCCAACGUUAAACAACCCUGUGAACCUUCAGACAGUUCUUCUAGCCCACGCGAACAGCAAUCCCGGUAAAUCAAGUGGCGGAAAGUUUUUUUGAUUCGGGACCUCUAUCCGAGUGGUAUCAAGUUAGAAUCCGAACUUGAGCAGUGGCAUGGUUUCCCUACGCAGUGCAGAAGGAUCCACUGAGCAGGGCUUUACGCCCCUUCGUUCACACCUUGCCUAUUUAAGCCCCGCGGAAACGCCUGGGCUAAAAACCGAACAACUGUUAACAAUGGAUAUCUUGGUUCUC
rnacentral:misc_RNA from 1 species